UGACUGCUGCCAAGCAACCGUCUCCAUUCCCGCCGAUUGGCCCCCUCGCCUCAGUCUCCUCUCUUUCCACCUCCUCCCGUCCCCUAGGAUACGGCGUUGCUGGCUGACGUGUGACGGUCUCCUAGUGACCAGUCCCGUGACCACGCCCCUUCCUCUCUUUCUUCUCUUAUCCUUCCUGCUGACCUGCUGGUCCUCUCAUCCCUCCUUUCAUCUCUUGCCAUAAAGAGCGUUAAAGGUACCAUUUCCUCUCUUCAUCCUUGUCAUUUAAAGCUGAGAACCGCAAUAGGCGAAACAGGGCCACAGGCCCACCCAGGGCAUUUGUUGUUUUGGUUUUGAGGAAAUGGGCAGCCAGCAUCGCGGUAAACAUAUAUUGGAUCUGCUAUUCUGUGCAUUGUCACAGGUCGGCUCAUAGCCUGUGGCAAAAAAUGAGGGGUCGCGAACAACAGGUAUCGGCCAAUCAAAAAGUUUUUUUAUUAUAAACCAAACUAUGAGGGGACAUGAACAACAGGUAUCGGCCAAUCAAAAAGGUUUUUUAUUAUAAACCAAACUAUGAGGGGACACGAACAACAGGUAUCGGCCAAUCAAAAAGGUUCUUUAUUAUAAACCAAACUAUGAGGGGACACGAACAACAGGUAUCGGCCAAUCAAAAAGGUUCUUUAUUAUAAACCAAACUAUGAGGGGACACGAACAACAGGUAUCGGCCAAUCAAAAAGGUUCUUUAUUAUAAACCAAACUAUGAGGGGACACGAACAACAGGUAUAGGCCAAUCAAAAAGGUUCUUUAUUGUAAACCAAAACUAUUAACUU